rnacentral:rRNA from 1 species
CCUACGGGAGGCAGCAGUGAGGAAUAUUGCUCAAUGGUCGUAAGCCUGAACCAGCCAAGUAGCGUGACGGAUGACGGCCCUACGGUUUGUAAACUGCUUUUAUGCGGGAAUAAAGUCAGUCACGUGUUCUGUUUUGUAUGUACGGUAUCUAUAAGGAACGGCUAAUUCCGUGCCAUCAGCCGCGGUAAUACGGAGGGUCCGAGCGUUAUCCGGAUUUAUUGGUUGUAAAGUGACCGUAGGGGGGUUGUUAAGUCUGUCGUGAAAUGUCGUGGCUCAACCGUGGAACUGCCACUGAUACUGGCAGGCUUGAGUGCGGGAGAGGUAAGUGGAAUUCGUGGUGUAGCGGUGAAAUGCUUAGAUAUCACGAGGAACUCCGAUGGCGAAGGCAGCUUACUGGAACGCAACUGACGCUGAGGAUCGAAAGCGCGGGUAGCAAACAGGAUUAGAUACCCCAGUAGUC